rnacentral:rRNA from 1 species
AUUGUAGUCAUAUGCUUGUCUCAAAGAUUAAGCCAUGCAUGUCCAAGUGUAAACCAAUUUGUACGGUGAAACUGCGAAUGGCUCAUUAAAUCAGUUAUAAUUUAUUUGAUGCUUUCUUACUACAUGGAUAACCGUGGCAACCCAGAGCUAAUACAUGCAACAGGACUCGCAAGAGUCGCAUUUAUUGGAUUCGAACCAACAUGCAGCAAUGCAUCGCGUGGUGAUUCACAUUAACUUUGCGGAUCGCAUGACCUUGCGUCGGCGACGCUUCAUUCAAAUUUCUGCCCUAUCAACUAUCGAUGGUAGGAUAGAGGCCUACCAUGGUUACAACGGGUAACGGGGAAUAAU